rfam:Oryza glumipatula chromosome 3, whole genome shotgun sequence.
UUUAAGUGUAAUCAUGAGUUUCCACGCCCAACUUUAAUCAUCUGUUUUAUUUGAACUUUUUAUAAAUAGUAUUUUUAUUGUUAUGAGAUUAUAAAAUUUAAAUAAGACGGAUGAUUAAAGUUGGACACGAAAACUCAUGGCUACACUUACA